UACAAAAGAGCUUGUGGUCGUUGGAAGGAGCAGCCAUUUCCAGCUGCGACACUGGCAUGCAUAGGGCACCACGGACACUCCCUAGCAUUGGAGGCAAGAAACUUCUGGAAAGAAGAGAUUCAACACUGAGAUAAUGUUCACAACUCUUGAGAGCAUCACACUGGCAGUCUACAGCACUGUGGAUGUGUUUGCACCUAGGCUUGCCUGCACCACUGUGAAAUGGAUAGAGAGAUUCAGGACGAACCGAUGGUCAGUGCUCAUGACUGAAGACGUGAAGGCUGCGGGGCAGCCACCGGGCAGCUGUGAAGGCACUGAUACAGUAUGUUGCCAUAUAUAAUUGGCUGGGAACCAGAGAAUCGGAUUGUGAUCAGAGAAGAAGAAAGGGCAGGGAGGAGGAGAUGAGUUGAGAAACUCUGUACGUAACCUUUGCGGAAUGCUCUACCUUGUUGUGGGGGUUACAGUGAGGGUGCCCUUGUAUUUUCCUCUCAAUCUUUUAUUGUUUCCCUGGAAUUUUCUUUUCCUAAGCUAAUGGCCAGAGAUAGCAGACACAGAAGGAGCCAGGAAAGCAAGGAGAAAGGCUAGGCUUAGGUCUGAGGAGCAGUACAGAGGGUUUAUCACAGCCCCCAAAUCUGAGGAGAUGCCUUGUGGGUGAGCACUUGUCUAGGAUGAUGACAUGAAAAUGUUGUUGUUCAUGUCAGGUGUGAAGUUGGAACUAGGGCAGAGUCUAGUACAGCUCAGAAAAGGCAGAGUGCCUGUCACCAUUGCGGACAGUUAAGGGAAGCCAUGGCACCUGGUUCUGAGAUCUUGAUCAGGCCACAUGGAUAGGUGCUCAUGGGAUCUCAGAUUCUCCUCUUUUACAUCUCAGAUCUCAUCCUUCAGAACAUAGCUCACAGCAUAAUGGCAGACAUAAACCCCUCAGUGCUUGCUUUUAGCCACAGUCUCUCCUUUUGAGACAGCAUGCCUCAAGGCUAGAGCCCACUGUCCUGCAUUCUCCCCUCAUUUCUGCCUCAAACAAACCUGGAGUCCAAGGUCGUGCUGGCUUGUUUUAUUUCAAUUUGACACAAUCUUGAGUUGUUUGGGAAGAGGGACCUAAACUGAGAAGAGAAGAUGGCCUUGCCAGAUGGCCUGUGGACAAGCCUCAGAGACAUUACUUUGACUGAAGGUUGAUGUGGGAGGU